UGGAAUGAGGUGACGAUGUCCAUUAACUGUCUCGAUAAGGAUUUUGUGGAAGAGGAUGAUAGCGAAGCCACCCUAUGGCCUAUGACAGUGACCUUCCUCACUCUGUUCCUGCUCAGCAUGUUCUACAAUACCACAGUGACCCUCAUGAAGACCAAGUCUGGCCCAGCCAUCAAGUACUAAGCCUCUAAGCAAGCAAGGCUCCUGGCCUUGGUGAGAUCCCUGCUGGAUAUGCAUGAGACAUCAAAGACAUCAGUAUGGACCAAAGUCUACUGGACAAGUAGCAGCUCCCAGUGACACAGUGACAACCAAUCCCCAUCCUCAUCCUUCCUCUAUUCCUUGGGCCAUAGUGCUUCUGUACAAUAAAGAUGGAGUCUUUCCUCCA